rnacentral:rRNA from 1 species
UGGGGAAUAUUGCACAAUGGGCGCAAGCCUGAUGCAGCCAUGCCGCGUGUGUGAAGAAGGUCUUCGGAUUGUAAAGCACUUUAAGUUGGGAGGAAGGGCAGUAAGCUAAUACCUUGCUGUUUUGACGUUACCGACAGAAUAAGCACCGGCUAACUCUGUGCCAGCAGCCGCGGUAAUACAGAGGGUGCAAGCGUUAAUCGGAAUUACUGGGCGUAAAGCGCGCGUAGGUGGUUUGUUAAGUUGGAUGUGAAAGCCCCGGGCUCAACCUGGGAACUGCAUCCAAAACUGGCAAGCUAGAGUACGGUAGAGGGUGGUGGAAUUUCCUGUGUAGCGGUGAAAUGCGUAGAUAUAGGAAGGAACACCAGUGGCGAAGGCGACCACCUGGACUGAUACUGACACUGAGGUGCGAAAGCGUGGGGAGCAAACA